GGCACCAUGGUGUAGUGGUUAUCACAUUUGCCUAACACGCAGAAGGUCCCCAGUUCAGGCCUGGGUGGUGUCA
rnacentral:tRNA from 1 species